rnacentral:rRNA from 1 species
GAUGUACGCUGGCGGCGUGCCUAAUACAUGCAAGUCGAGCGAAUGGAUUAAGAGCUUGCUCUUAUGAAGUUAGCGGCGGACGGGUGAGUAACACGUGGGUAACCUGCCCAUAAGACUGGGAUAACUCCGGGAAACCGGGGCUAAUACCGGAUAACAUUUUGAACCGCAUAGUUCGAAAUUGAAAGGCGGCUUCGGCUGUCACUUAUGGAUGGACCCGCGUCGCAUUAGCUAGUUGGUGAGGUAACGGCUCACCAAGGCAACGAUGCGUAGCCGACCUGAGAGGGGGAUCGGCCACACUGGGACUGAGACACGGCCCAGACUCCUACGGGAGGCAGCAGUAGGGAAUCUUCCGCAAUGGACGAAAGUCUGACGGAGCAACGCCGCGUGAGUGAUGAAGGCUUUCGGGUCGUAAAACUCUGUUGUUAGGGAAGAACAAGUGCUAGCUGAAUAAGCUGGCACCUUGACGGUACCUAACCAGAAAGCCACGGCUAACUACGUGCCAGCCGCCGCCGUAA